rnacentral:piRNA from 2 species
UCAGUUGGUAGAGUGCCUGCCUAGCACGU